rnacentral:lncRNA from 1 species
ACCUGGGAGGCUGCAAACUGUGGAAGCUGUACGCACGGUGUAGCAGACUAGCGGUUAGAGGAGACCCCUCCCAUGACACAACGCAGCAGCGGGGCCCGAGCACUGAGGAAAGCUGUACCUCCUUGCAAAGGACUAGAGGUUWSMGG